rnacentral:rRNA from 1 species
AGCAGCCGCGGUAAUUCCAGCUCCAAUAGCGUAUAUUAAAGUUGUUGCAGUUAAAAAGCUCGUAGUUGAAUUUCGGGAUCAAAUUGUCGGUCGUGCCUCGGUACGUACUGGCGUUAUUGGUUCCUCCCUUCUGAAGAACCGCGAUGUCAUUAAUUUGGUGUCGCGGGGAAUCAGGACUGUUACUUUGAAAAAUUAGAGUGUUUAAAGCAGGCUCGCGCUUGAAUACAUUAGCAUGGAAUAAUGAAAUAGGACGUUUGAUUCUAUUUUGUUGGUUUCUAGGAUCACGUAAUGAUUAAUAGGGAUAGUUGGGGGCAUUAGUAUUCAAUUGUCAGAGGUGAAAUUCUUGGAUUUAUUGAAGACUAACUACUGCGAAAAGCAUUUGCCAAGGAUGUUUUCAUUAAUCAAGAACGAAAGUUAGGGGAUCGAAGACGAUCAGAUACCGUCGUAGUCUUAACCAUAAACUAUGCCGACUAGGGAUCGGAUGAUGUUAAUUUUUUAAUGACUCAUUCGGCGCCUUACG